AAUGAACGCUGGCGGCAUGCCUUACACAUGCAAGUCGAACGGCAGCAUGACCUAGCUUGCUAGGUUGAUGGCGAGUGGCGCACGGGUGAGUAAUGCAUCGGAACGUGCCUUUUAGUGGGGGAUAACGUAGCGAAAGUUACGCUAAUACCGCAUAUUCUCUGAGGAGGAAAGCAGGGGACCUUCGGGCCUUGCGCUAGAAGAGCGGCCGAUGUCGGAUUAGCUAGUUGGUGAGGUAAAGGCUCACCAAGGCAACGAUCCGUAGCGGGUCUGAGAGGAUGAUCCGCCACACUGGGACUGAGACACGGCCCAGACUCCUACGGGAGGCAGCAGUGGGGAAUUUUGGACAAUGGGCGCAAGCCUGAUCCAGCCAUGCCGCGUGAGUGAAGAAGGCCUUCGGGUUGUAAAGCUCUUUCGGCUGGGAAGAAAUCGCACCCUCUAAUACAGGGUGUGGAUGACGGUACCAGCAUAAGAAGCACCGGCUAACUACGUG
rnacentral:rRNA from 1 species